AGGACAUGAGAGGAGGACCUGAGGUGAAAGCCUCAAACAAAGAAAUGUUGGAUCCUCCUGGAGAGGUCCAGAUGGUCUCAGAUCUGAGGAUGUACUCCUGUGAGUUCUCUCUGGACCCAAACUCAGCUCAGAGACGUCUCCUUCUGUCUAAGGACCAACGAACUGUGACACAUGUG